CCCACCCAGGCAGGGAAGGGCUGGGUGGCCCCCAGGGCACAGGCCAGGCAUAGCCCUGGGCACCUGGGUGCUCUCAGGGUGCCUCCAGACCCCACUUUGCCCUCAUGUCCCUGCAGUGCAUCCCAGAGCCCCGUGGUCAGACACUCUGCCAUGCCUUUCCUUGCAGGGAUCAGCUGAGAGCAGCUGAAUAAAGCCCAGCCAUGCUUUCACCUCUGUGUGUACAGGACAGUGCGGGGAGAAAAGGGGACUAAAAAAAAGGCCAGUAACUCAGCAUGAAGAAGGGAUAGAGAUUGCAAGCUCUGAUGGAAGCUGGAGAACAGCUCUUCCCUGGAAAGGUACCAUCUGCUUAAAGACUUCCUGCAACAUGAUUCUAAAACCACAGCACUUCUCCCAUGGCUUUCUGCUGCACAGCUGAUUUUCCACAAAGCUCCAGCUGACUGGGCUGCAGCCCAUCUAUGAAGGAAUUUCAGAUACAUCUUA